rnacentral:lncRNA from 10 species
CCACCUUCAAGCAGCUGGUGGAAGACCUGGACCGCAUCGUGGCCUUGACCUCCAACCAGGUCCUGCACCCAGACCUCACGACGCACCUCCUGCCUCUCCGCUGCUUUUGGAAAGUCAGAAAAAGAAGAUGUCUGCUUCGAGGGCAGGAACCCCAUCCAUGCAGUAGAGGCGCUGGGCAGAGAGUCAAGGCCCAGCAGCCAUCGACCAUGGAUGGUUUCCUCCAAGGAAACCGGUGGGGUUGGGCUGGGGAGGGGGCACCUACCUAGGAAUAGCCACGGGGUAGAGCUACAGUGAUUAAGAGGAAAGCAAGGGCGCGGUUGCUCACGCCUGUAAUCCCAGCACUUUGGGACACCGAGGUGGGCAGAUCACUUCAGGUCAGGAGUUUGAGACCAGCCUGGCCAACUUAGUGAAACCCCAUCUCUACUAAAAAUGCAAAAAUUAUCCAGGCAUGGUGGCACACGCCUGUAAUCCCAGCUCCACAGGAGGCUGAGGCAGAAUCCCUUGAAGCUGGGAGGCGGAGGUUGCAGUGAGCCGAGAUUGCGCCAUUGCACUCCAGCCUGGGCAACAGAG